rnacentral:rRNA from 1 species
GACGAACGCUGGCGGCGUGCUUAACACAUGCAAGUCGAACGGUGACGAGGAGCUUGCUCCUCUGAUCAGUGGUGAACGGGUGAGUAACACGUGAGCAACCUGCCCCAGACUCUGGGAUAACAGUUGGAAACAGCUGCUAAUACCGGAUACGAGACGGAGAGGCAUCUCUACCGUCUGGAAAGUUUUUCGGUCUGGGAUGGACUCGCGGCCUAUCAGCUAGUUGGUGAGGUAAUGGCUCACCAAGGCGACGACGGGUAGCCGGCCUGAGAGGGCGACCGGCCACACUGGGACUGAGACACGGCCCAGACUCCUACGGGAGGCAGCAGUGGGGAAUAUUGCACAAUGGGCGAAAGCCUGAUGCAGCGACGCCGCGUGAGGGAUGACGGCCUCGGUUGUAACCGUACUUCUAGUCAGGAAGGAAGACGAAAGUAGACGGUAACCGUCGCAGAAGAAGACACCGGCUAACUACGUAGCCAGCAGCGCCGGUAAACGU